rnacentral:RNase_P_RNA from 1 species
GGAGUGGCCGGGGCGAACGCUGGCCGCUCGUACUCCGAGCGACGGGAGGAAAGUCCGGGCUCCACAGGACAGGGUGCUGGCCAACGGCCAGUCGGGGCGACCCGCAGGAAAGUGCCACAGAAAUCAAACCGCCCGCGGCCACGCGGGUAAGGGUGAAACGGUGCGGUAAGAGCGCACCGCGUUCCUGGUGACAGGGACGGCACGGCAAACCCCACCCGGAGCAAGAGCCGAUAGGGGAGCGCCUUCGCAAGAAGGCACAGGCGGUCCGUCUGAUGCUCCCGGGUGGCUCGCUGAUGAGGCGCCUGGGUAACCAGGGCCCUAGAUGAAUGUUCGCUGCCCGCCCGUUUGGGCGGGUACAGAACCCGGCUUACAAGGCCACUCCGGCG